GAAUCAUAUGCUUGUUUCAAAGACUAAGCCAUGCAUGUGUAAGUAUAAGUAACUCGCUUACAAAACUGCGGACGGCUCGUUAAAUCAGUUAUAGUUUAUUUGAUAAUCCUCUUUACUAGGAUAACUCGUAGUAAAUCCAGAGCUAAUACUUGCGAAAAGGGGCGACUUUUUGGAAGCCUUGUAUUUAUUAGAUUCUUAAAAUCAAUGCAUGCUUCGGCAUGGUUUUUUUGAUGAUUCAUAAUAACUUUGCGAAUCGGACGGCCUCGCGCCGACGAUGAUUCAUAUAAAUUUCUGCCCUAUCAAGUCUCGAUGGUAAUGUAGUGGAUUACCAUGCUUUUGACGGGUACGGGGAAUUAGGGUUCGAUUCCGGAGAGGGAGCCUGAGAGACGGCUACCACUUCUAAGGAAGGCAGCAGGCGCGCAAAUUACCCAAUUCCAACUCAGAGAGGUAGUAACAAAAAAUAACAAUACGGGGCGCGAUACGCGUCUUGUAAUUGGAAUGAGUACAAUCUAAAUCACUUAACGAGCAUCAAUU
rnacentral:rRNA from 1 species